rnacentral:rRNA from 1 species
CAGGUGGAGCCUGCGGUUAAUCGGACUCAACGCCGGGAAACUCACCAGAUAAGACAGCUGAAUGAUAGUCGGGCUGAAGACUCUACUUGACUAGCUGAGAGGAGGUGCAUGGCCGUCGUCAGUUCGUACUGUGAAGCAUCCUGUUAAGUCAGGCAACGAGCGAGACCCACGCCAACAGUUGCCAGCUCGUCCUCCGGGAUGGUGGGGACACUGUUGGGACCGCCUCUGCUAAAGAGGAGGAAGGGAUGGGCAACGGUAGGUCAGCAUGCCCCGAAUUAUCUGGGCUACACGCGGGCUACAAUGGGUGGGACAAUGGGUAUCGACACCGAAAGGUGAAGGCAAUCUCCUAAACCCAUCCGUAGUUCGGAUUGUGGGCUGCAACUCGCCCACAUGAAGCUGGAAUCUGUAGUAAUCGUGUCUCAAAAUGGCACGGUGAAUAUGUCCCUGCUCCUU